AGUGUGUGACACUGCUGCU
rnacentral:misc_RNA from 1 species